UAGGGAAUCUUCGGCAAUGGACGAAAGUCUGACCGAGCAACGCCGCGUGAGUGAAGAAGGUUUUCGGAUCGUAAAACUCUGUUGUUAGAGAAGAACAAGGACGUUAGUAACUGAACGUCCCCUGACGGUAUCUAACCAGAAAGCCACGGCUAACUACGUGCCAGCAGCCGCGGUAAUACGUAGGUGGCAAGCGUUGUCCGGAUUUAUUGGGCGUAAAGCGAGCGCAGGCGGUUUCUUAAGUCUGAUGUGAAAGCCCCCGGCUCAACCGGGGAGGGUCAUUGGAAACUGGGAGACUUGAGUGCAGAAGAGGAGAGUGGAAUUGCAUGUGUAGCGGUGAAAUGCGUAGAUAUAAGGAGGAACACCAGUGGCGAAGGCGGCUCUCUGGUCUGUAACUGACGCUGAGGCUCGAAAGCGUGGGGAGCAAACAGG
rnacentral:rRNA from 1 species